rnacentral:rRNA from 1 species
UACGGGGGGGGCAAGCGUUGUUCGGAAUUACUGGGCGUAAAGGGCGCGUAGGUGGCCAAUUAAGUCGGACGUGAAAUCCCUCAGCUUAACUGGGGAACUGCGUCCGAUACUGGAUGGCUUGAGUUUGGGAGAGGGAUGCGGAAUUCCAGGUGUAGCGGUGAAAUGCGUAGAUAUCUGGAGGAACACCAGUGGCGAAAGCGGCAUCCUGGACCAACACUGACACUGAGGAGCGAAAGCCAGGGGAGCAAACGGG